rnacentral:rRNA from 1 species
UGGGCAACCUGCCCCGAUGAUCGGGACAACCCGGGGGAAACUCGGGCUAAUACCGAAUGUGCUCUCCUCACAUCAGUGAGGUGCGUAAAGGAAGCUUCGGCCUCCGCAUCGGGAUGGGCCCGCGGCCCAUUAGCUUGUUGGUGAGGUAACGGCUCACCAAGGCCGCGAUGGGUANCUGGUCUGAGAGGACGAUCAGCCACACUGGGACUGAGACACGGCCCAGACCUNUACGGGAGG